CCUGGUAGCUCAGAUGGUAAAGCAUCUGCCUACAAUGCAGGAGACCAGGGUUCAAUCCCUGGGUCAGGA
rnacentral:tRNA from 1 species